AUACGGAGGGUGCAAGCGUUAAUCGGAAUUACUGGGCGUAAAGCGUACGUAGGCGGUUCGUUAAGUUAGAUGUGAAAGCCCCGGGCUUAACCUGGGAACUGCAUUUAAAACUGGCGAACUAGAGUUGAGUAGAGGGGAGUGGAAUUUCAGGUGUAGUGGUGAAAUGCGUAGAGAUCUGAAGGAACACCAGUGGCGAAGGCGGCUCCCUGGACUCAAACUGACGCUGAGGUACGAAAGCGUGGGUAGCAAACGGGAUUAGAAACCCUAGUAGUCC
rnacentral:rRNA from 1 species